rnacentral:rRNA from 1 species
GAUGAACGCUGGCGGCGUGCCUAAUACAUGCAAGUCGAGCGAACAGACGAGGAGCUUGCUCCUCUGACGUUAGCGGCGGACGGGUGAGUAACACGUGGAUAACCUACCUAUAAGACUGGGAUAACUUCGGGAAACCGGAGCUAAUACCGGAUAAUAUAUUGAACCGCAUGGUUCAAUAGUGAAAGACGGUUUUGCUGUCACUCAUAGAUGGAUCCGCGCCGCAUUAGCUAGAUGGUAAGGUAACGGCUUACCAAGGCAACGAUGCGUAGCCGACCUGAGAGGGUGAUCGGCCACACUGGAACUGAGACACGGUCCAGACUCCUACGGGAGGCAGCAGUAGGGAAUCUUCCGCAAUGGGCGAAAGCCUGACGGAGCAACGCCGCGUGAGUGAUGAAGGUCUUCGGAUCGUAAAACUCUGUUAUUAGGGAAGAACAAAUGUGUAAGUAACUAUGCACGUCUUGACGGUACCUAAUCAGAAAGCCACGGCUAACUACGUG